rnacentral:rRNA from 2 species
UACGGGGGGAGCAAGCGUUGUUCGGAUUUACUGGGCGUAAAGGGCGCGUAGGCGGCCACCGCAAGUCGACUGUGAAAUCUCCGGGCUUAACCCGGAACGGUCAGCCGAUACUGCGGGGCUAGAGUGCAGAAGGGGCAACUGGAAUUCUCGGUGUAGCGGUGAAAUGCGUAGAUAUCGAGAGGAACACCUGCGGCGAAGGCGGGUUGCUGGGCUGACACUGACGCUGAGGCGCGAAAGCUAGGGGAGCGAACGGG